rnacentral:lncRNA from 10 species
GGGCCUGUUCCCAACAGUGACAGAGUGGGAGAAUGUGAUUAGUGAGUAGUUCUUUCCACCAACUUGAAGAGUCCCAUCACUGUCCUGCUCUGAGGGAUGGAGGAAGGUGGGAAGAGUCUGUGAAAAAAGAACAGCAGGAAUUCAGGGUGAAGAAGAUGUGGACUGUGUCUCCAGUGUCUGGUUUGCACAAAAGAGAGCUGGCGCCAUCUAAUUUUUGUGUGGAAAUCCGAAGAUGUCCUAAGGGCAUGUGAGGGAAGUUCAGCAAAAUGAAGGAGUGUACUCAAAGCUGAGCCCAGAUACAAACCCAGCCCUUCGUGGUUAUAAAACCUCUUCAUCUGCUGGCUUCUUGCUUUUCAGUAGAGUACCAGGGUCAGACUUCAGCCCACCUGGAAACUCAC